AUGUCAAAAUUUAUUUACUCUACAGCAAUAUUUGUCCUUGCAUUGGCUGAAGCUUCGGUGACUUCAGAUUUCGAUCAAGCUCUUGCAGAAUUUCGAAAAUUAAAAGAAGCUGGAGCCAGCCAAUUGAGGGUCCUGAUGGAAGACACUGACUUACGCAAGUGUAACACCACAGAUAGUUUUCUAUCGCUCUUGGAUGAGGAAAAUUCAAUCUAUGGAAAGCUGCAGGCAUGCUUUGUGGCGGUCCAAAAAAUACUCAAUUCCGUCGAUGGAAAAGCCACUCCACAACACGUCAAACGAGUAAGAAUAACAAGGGAAUUUCAUCGCAUUUUUCUGUUUCUCCAUAUUUUAUUUGCUCCCAAGCAGCAAAGCGCAAUGUAUUGGAAUAGAAUAAUUGCGGUUUUUUAUUACCAUGUAAUUGAAUUGUUUUUUUUACCUUAUGUAUACUCGAGAAAUUUAAACUUUUUAAACUUUAAACGACCAAUAAGAUGAGUUCCACGUAUCAGAGAGACAGACAAGUUGCAAUACAAAGAAACAUUGCAUCUUAUUUUAGUUUAAUUUUAUUGCAAUAUUCAGUAGGAGGUGCUCCUUCAAUUAGUAGAUAGGCAACAUACACAACACUCCGAUAUAGUCACAAUAAUUUUAAUAUGUGCUACUUAAAAUAUGGGUAUUUCGUUGCCCCGCAUAUGUAUAGGCGUAACUAUACACUCAGCAAUGUCAAAAAUUGACUGCACACUUGUUAACGCUUGCACUUGAAAUAUAUUUAAUUUUUUAGAUAUAAUUGUAUAGGGCAAGUUUUCAUUAAUUCGGUGAAUUUUUGAACCCCACCAAGACAUAUUUUUUCGGAAGAACUCCCCACUGAUUUUUUUCUUUCUUUUUCGUUUCAGGCAGCAAUAGCGUUCCUGCGGAGCGACAUGUUUGGUAGCAACAUUCAGAGGUUGAAUCAAAUUUUCUCAACGGCUAAUAAGGACUUAGUUUCCCUUCCUCGAGCUGCACAAGAUAAAGUCUUGUCAGUCACAGACGCGUUCAGUGGCACCGCAAAGCAAUUGAACACAUUAGUGACUCUUUUCAAGACCGAAGCAGAGAGGGACACGACAAAUAUGUAAUUAGUGAUUGGCAUCAGAUCUGAAUACUGAAAAACGCAAAAUGUGACGGUCCUCAUUUGUUAAGUUUCCGAAAGGACGCGCCGUGCGCGCCGGUCAAUCGGGUGUAGCGCUACCACUCGCAAACGGUUAGAUUGAUUCCUUGAUCCUUGCAAAUAGGGGCAAGUUCCCCUAUUUCAUAUCUUUCAAACUAAAACAGAUGAAUCAAAUCGGUAAAUAGUGGGUAUCAAUAAUACUCACACCUUGCAAACAUGACAAAAAUAAGAAUAGGUCAGAGGUUUUUACGAGAAGACUGAAAUUAACUGAAACCACCUAAAACAGCUGUCGCCGCGGGCCUAUAUCUCCUUCAGUGUUUUGAGUAG
rnacentral:lncRNA from 1 species